rnacentral:rRNA from 1 species
GACGAACGCUGGCGGCGUGCCUAAUACAUGCAAGUCGAACGCUGAAGGAGGAGCUUGCUCUUCUGGACGAGUUGAGAACGGGUGAGUAACGCGUAGGUAACCUGCCUGGUAGCGGGGGAUAACUAUUGGAAACGAUAGCUAAUACCGCAUAACAGUAGAUGUUGCAUGACAUUUGCUUAAAAGGUGCAAUUGCACCACUACCAGAUGGACCUGCGUUGUAUUAGCUAGUUGGUGGGGUAACGGCUCACCAAGGCGACGAUACAUAGCCGACCUGAGAGGGGGAGCGGCCACACUGGGACUGAGACACGGCCCAGACUCCUACGGGAGGCAGCAGUAGGGAAUCUUCGGCAAUGGACGGAAGUCUGACCGAGCAACGCCGCGUGAGUGAAGAAUGUUGUCGGAUCGUAAAGCUCUGUUGUAAGAGAAGAACGAGUGUGAGAGUGGAAAGUUCACACUGUGACGGUAUCUUACCAGAAAGGGACGGCUAACUACGUG